GUCGUAAAACUCUGUAGUAGGGGAAGAAAGAAAUGACAGUACCCUAAAAGAAAGCCCCGGCUAACUACGUGCCAGCAGCCGCGGUAAUACGUAGGGGGCAAGCGUUAUCCGGAAUAACUGGGCGUAAAGGGUGCGCAGGUGGUUUAACAAGUUAGUGGUGAAAGGCAUAGGCUCAACCAAUGUAAGCCAUUAAAACUGUUUAACUUGAGUGCAGGAGAGGAAAGUGGAAUUCCUAGUGUAGCGGUGAAAUGCGUAGAUAUUAGGAGGAAUACCAGUGGCGAAGGCGACUUUCUGGACUGCAACUGACACUGAGGCACGAAAGCGUGGGGAGCAAACAGGAUUAGAUACCCUGGUAGUCCACGCCGUAAACGAUGAGUACUAGGUGACGGGUGAAGAACUCGGUGCCGAAGUUAACACAUUAAGUACUCCGCCUGGGGAGUACGCUCGCAAGAGUAAAACUCAAAGGAAUUGACGGGGACCCGCACAAGCAGCGGAGCAUGUGGUUUAUUCGAAGCAACGCGAAGAACCUUACCUAAACUUGACAUACCAAUGACAGCG
rnacentral:rRNA from 1 species